UAAGGAAUCUUCCACAAUGGACGAAAGUCUGAUGGAGCAACACCGCGUGCAGGAUGACGGCUUUAGGGUUGUAAACUGCUUUUAUAGAUGAAGAUUAUGACGGUAAUCUAUGAAUAAGGACCGGCUAACUACGUGCCAGCAGCCGCGGUAAUACGUAGGGUCCAAGCGUUAUCCGGAAUCACUGGGCGUAAAGCGUGCGUAGGCGGCGUGUUAAGUGUGAUGUUAAAUCGUGUGGCUCAACCAUAUCGAUGCAUCGCAUACUGGCAUGCUUGAGGAAGGCAGAGGCAAGUGGAACUAGUAGUGUAGCAGUGAAAUGCGUAGAGAUUACUAAGAACACCAAUGGCGAAGGCAGCUUGCUGGGCCUUUUCUGACGCUGAGGUACGAAAGCGUGGGGAGCGAACAGGAUUAGAUACCCGCGUAGUCC
rnacentral:rRNA from 1 species